rnacentral:rRNA from 1 species
GCAUAUCAAUAAGCGGAGGAAAAAGAAACCAACAGGGAUUGCCCCAGUAACGGCGAGUGAAGCGGCAAGAGCUCAAAUUUGAAAGCUGGCUCCUUCGGGGUCCGCAUUGUAAUUUGCAGAGGAUGCUUCGGGAGCGGUCCCCAUCUAAGUUCCCUGGAACGGGACGUCAUAGAGGGUGAAAAUCCCGUAUGGGAUGGGGUGUCCGCGCCCGUGUGAAGCUCCUUCGACGAGUCGAGUUGUUUGGGAAUGCAGCUCUAAAUGGGUGGUAAAUUUCAUCUAAAGCUAAAUAUUGGCCGGAGACCGAUAGCGCACAAGUAGAGUGAUCGAAAGAUGAAAAGCACUUUGAAAAGAGAGUUAAAAAGCACGUGAAAUUGUUGAAAGGGAAGCGCUUGCGACCAGACUCGCUCGCGGGGUUCAGCCGGCAUUCGUGCCGGUGUACUUCCCCGCGGGCGGGCCAACGUCGGUUUGGGCGGUCGGUCAAAGGCCCUCGGAAGGUAACGCCCCCAGGGGCGUCUUAUAGCCGAGGGUGCAAUGCGACCUGCCUAGACCGAGGAACGCGCUUCGGCUCGGACGUUGGCAUAAUGGUCGUAAGCGACCCGUCUUGAAACACGGACCAAGGAGUCUAACAUCUACGCGAGUGUUCGGGUGUCAAACCCGUGCGCGCAGUGAAAGCGAACGGAGGUGGGAACCCUUUGGGUGCACCAUCGACCGAUCCUGAUGUCUUCGGAUGGAUUUGAGUAAGAGCGUAGCUGUUGGGGACCCGAAAGAUGGUGAACUAUGCCUGAAUAGGGCGAAGCCAGAGGAAACUCUGGUGGAGGCUCGUAGCGGUUCUGACGUGGCAAAUCGAUCGUCGAAUUUGGGGUAUAGGGGCGAAAAGACUAAUCGAACCAUCUGGUAGCUGGUUCCUGCCGAAGUU